GUGAACAUAGUUUAUCAAAAUUCUAGUUUGUGAAUCUAGAGAUGAGGCUAACCCCCCUCUGUUCACC
rnacentral:tRNA from 1 species